AUUGAACGCUGGCGGCAUGCUUUACACAUGCAAGUCGAACGGUAACAGGCCGCAAGGUGCUGACGAGUGGCGAACGGGUGAGUAAUGCAUCGGAACGUGCCCAGUCGUGGGGGAUAACGCAGCGAAAGCGGCGCUAAUACCGCCUACGAUCUCAGGAUGAAAGCGGGGGACCGAAAGCCCUCGCGCGAUUGGAGCGGCCGAUGUCAGAUUCGGUAGUUGGUGGGGUAAAGUCCCACCAAGCCAACGAUCUGUAGCUGGUCUGAGAGGACGACCAGCCACACUGGGACUGAGACACGGCCCAGACUCCUACGGGAGGCAGCAGUGGGGAAUUUUGGACAAUGGGCGCAAGCCUGAUCCAGCAAUGCCGCGUGCAGGAAGAAGGCCUUCGGGUUGUAAACUGCUUUUGUACGGAACGAAACGGUCCGGGUUAAUACCCUGGGCUAAUGACGGUACCGUAAGAAUAAGCACCGGCUAACUACGUGCCAGCCGCCGCGGUAA
rnacentral:rRNA from 1 species